rnacentral:rRNA from 1 species
CGUGGGCAAUCUGCCCUAAAGACUGGGAUACCACUUGGAAACAGGUGCUAAUACCGGAUAACAACAUGAAUCGCAUGAUUCAAGUUUGAAAGGCGGCGCAAGCUGUCACUUUAGGAUGAGCCCGCGGCGCAUUAGCUAGUUGGUGGGGUAAAGGCCUACCAAGGCAAUGAUGCGUAGCCGAGUUGAGAGACUGAUCGGCCACAUUGGGACUGAGACACGGCCCAAACUCCUACGGAGGCAGCAGCC